rnacentral:rRNA from 1 species
UACAGAGGUGGCAAGCGUUGUUCGGACUUACUGGGCGUAAAGGGCUCGUAGGCGGCCAACUAAGUCAUACGUGAAAUCCCUCAGCUUAACUGGGGAACUGCGUGUGAUACUGGAUGGCUUGGAUUUGGGAGAGGGAUGCGGAAUUCCAGGUGUAGCGGUGAAAUGCGUAGAUAUCUGGAGGAACACCGGUGGCGAAGGCGACAUCCUGGACCAAUAUUGACGCUGAGGAGCGAAAGCUAGGGGAGCAAACGGG